UGUACCACCUUGUCGGGUAGCUUAUCAGACUGAUGUUGACUGUUGAAUCUCAUGGCAACAGCAGUCGAUGGGCUGUCUGACAUUCUGGUAUC
ensembl:miRNA